rnacentral:rRNA from 1 species
AUUAGCCAUGCAUGUCUAAGUACACACGAAUUAAAAGUGAAACCGCAAAAGGCUCAUUAUAUCAGUUAUGGUUCAUUAGAUCGUUAACAGUUACUUGGAUAACUGUGGUAAUUCUAGAGCUAAUACAUGCAAUAUAAACACGGACCUUUUGGAACGUGUGCUUUUAUUAGGCUAAAACCAAGCGAUUUUUUCGGAAAUCGUUAUUAUGGUUGAACUCUAGAUAAUUUGCCGAUCGUAUGGUCUUGUACCGACGACAGAUCUUUCAAAUGUCUGCCCUAUCAACUAUUGAUGGUAGUAUCUAGGACUACCAUGGUUGCAACGGGUAACGGGGAAUCAGGGUUCGAUUCCGGAGAGGGAGCCUGAGAAACGGCUACCACAUCUAAGGAAGGCAGCAGGCGCGUAAAUUACCCACUCCCAGUUCGGGGAGGUAGUGACGAAAAAUAACAAUACAGGACUCAUAUCCGAGGCCCUGUAAUUGGAAUGAGUACACUUUAAAUCCUUUAACAAGGACCUAUUGGAGGGCAAGUCUGGUGCCAGCAGCCGCGGUAAUUCCAGCUCCAAUAGCGUAUAUUAAAGUUGUUGCGGUUAAAACGUUCGUAGUUGAACUUGUGCUUCAUACGGGUAGUACAACUAUAAUUGUGGAUUGUACAUUACCUUAUGUAUGCAAGCGUAUUACCGGUGGAGUUCUAAUAUAUAAUGGUACUUGUAUCAUUAUGUAUACCUCCUAUUUAAACCUGCUUCAGUGCUCUUCAUCGAGUGUUGUUGUGGGCCGGUACAAUUACUUUGAACAAAUUAGAGUGCUUAAAGCAGGCUCCAAAUGCCUGAAUAUUUUGUGCAUGGAAUAAUGAAAUAAGACCUCUGUUCUACUUUCAUUGGUUUUUAGAUCAAGAGGUAAUGAUUAAUAGAAGCAGUUUGGGGGCAUUAGUAUUACGACGCGAGAGGUGAAAUUCUUGGACCGUCGUUAGACUAACUUAAGCGAAAGCAUUUGCCAAAGAUGUUUUCAUUAAUCAAGAACGAAGUUAGAGUU